rnacentral:misc_RNA from 1 species
GAAAAAUAUUGGCAAGAGACUUGCACUCAAGGCAUUGACUUUGCAAUCGCCUAGCGCCUUGGCUGCGAAGGCACCUUCAUCUUCAUCUCUUCUCGCAAGUUGGCUUAUUCUCUUCUUCUUUAGGAAUUUGGAAUUUUGUCUGCCUUUAUCCUUUUUUCCUCAAAUUUAAUCUCUUUUUUCUGCUUCUUUGUUUUGGAGCAAAUGAGAAUAAUUACCUCAGCUCACCUAAACUAGCUCCU